GGGAUCGAUGAUUGGGGUGAAGUCGUAACAAGGUAGCCGUAUCGGAAGGUGCGGCUGGAUCACCUCCUUUCU
rnacentral:rRNA from 1 species